rnacentral:rRNA from 1 species
UACGUAGGGACCAAGCGUUGUUCGGAUUUACUGGGCGUAAAGGGCGCGUAGGCGGCUUAACAAGUCACUUGUGAAAUCUCCGGGCUUAACUCGGAACGGCCAAGUGAAACUGUUAUGCUAGAGUGCAGAAGGGGCAAUCGGAAUUCUUGGUGUAGCGGUGAAAUGCGUGGAUAUCAAGAGGAACACCUGAGGUGAAGACGGGUUGCUGGGCCAUUACUGACGCUGAGGAGCGAAAGCGUGGGGAGCGAACAGG